ensembl:lncRNA
GUAUAUCAGACCAGCCAAACUAAGAGCCCGUCAUUUCUAACUGAGGUUGCAUGAUGGCAACUCGAACCCUGCCACACCGGGUGAAGGCCUAUACAUCUAGCCCAAGACAUGAGCUCAGGCAGAUUCCCGCUGUACCUGCAGAUCUGCACCAUCACGCACUGAGAAACAGCUCUCAUGUUUUUCUUGAUGUGCGCGCUCCUUCUCCUCCGCCACAAACGGUCAAAGUGGCGUUUUUCGAUGGUUGUACAAGCAAACAGGUUCCUCUGAUUCUGAACAGCACUGAGACAGUUCAGGGGCUGAUGAACAAGCUGAAAGAGCAGAAGCCCGACCUGGGAGACGACUUUCACCUCAUUUACAACGGAAAGCCUGUGGAAGCUCAGCAGACGAUGGCUGAACUGGAUGUGAAGACUGGAGGCAUCUUCAUGAAAUUUCAGAGAUGUGUGGGAGGGUAGAGGGCAGGUGAAAUUAGGGUUGUCCUUAGGGUCCUCAGCCCUGCAGAGAUUAGUGCUUUCCCUGCUCUAAAUUCAACUUUGCUGAUUAGGUCAUGAUCUGAAUCGGGGGUGUUAAAUGAGACACCCUUGAUAGUCUGGUAGGGUGGAUGUCUGUCUAUUUCUGCAUCUAUUUGUUCUGUCCAGAGUACAUUGGCUUGGGGGAUAUGUUUGGAAAAUCUUAUCUUAAGCGCUUAUUCAGUUAUUAUGAUCGUUACGGGGUUGUGGAAUGUGUCAUUUUGUAAUUAUGUUAAGUGACGUGGUUAUGAGAGUGAAGGCCCACCUGCAGGCUUCCAUAUUAAGAAUCUAGGAAAUGACAAUCAAUGUAUUGUGGCCACUAGCUGGUGAAGCACAGGGUUGUCCAUCCUCACGCAAGUGAAGUGGUCAAGGGGAUACUCACUGGUGGCAGCACUCACUUAAAUACAGCCAUGACAGUACGUGACUGAAGUGCCCUUGAGCAGGAAACCUAACCCCCAACGGCUCCCUGGGCUCUGUGGAUAUGGUUGCCCACCACUUUCGGAAAGUGUGCGCACUGCCCCCGAGUGUGUGUGUUCAGCAGUGUGCACAUAUGUGGGUGUUUCAUUGCACGGAUGGGUUAAAUGCGGAGGUCUAAUUCCUCUGUGUGCAAACACAGUUGGCUAUCCAUCCAUCCAUCCAUUUUCUAAGCCGCUUCUCCGUCAGGGUCGCGGGGGGAUGCUGGAGCCUAUCCCAGCAGUCUUCGGGCGGAAGGCAGGAUACACCCUGGACAGGUCACACAGUUGGCUAAUGGUUCUGAAUUCUAUUCUAUUUGAUAUUCACACUGCACCCCCUACUGGCCAGAGCUGUAACUGCUUUAUUGUGUUGACCCUUUAAACCCAGGUGAACCUAUAUGUGGGCCCACACUUCAGUUCCUCAUUCUCAUAACUGCAUAACUUACACAUUGCUGGUGUCAUAAGAAAGCGGUAUCUCAAAAAUGAUAAAUUAAUAGGAGAAAGAAAAACAUUCCUAGCUUUGAUGUAUGUUCAUGUAGCACGAUCUUGAACAAGUGAACAAGUCUUCAGAUCAAAUACACAGAUCUUUGUGUAAGAUGUGAGAUAAUAAAAUGUGAGCUACAAACAAUGCCUCUUUUUAUAUUUACAUUUUUAUACUUUAUUUUGGUAA